UUUAAUAAUUUUCGGGGAGGUUUCGAUAUAUAUUUAUGUAAUAUCGAUGAUAAACCAGAACGUAUCGAAUUAAUCUAGAAUAGAUAUAAAAGAAAGGGUUGAAAUAACAUUAAAAAAUGAGAACGAUCGCAUAUUAUUUCUGAACCAUAAUAAAAAGUCCAAACAGAUUCAUUAUUAAGAGGAUCACGAGGUAAUAAAAUACCGGAACAAUUUUCAGCUGCACAAUAUAAUGCACCUAAUAAUGAUCCACAUUCCUGAAGGAUCGCUGCAUCGUUUACAUCUGCAAGAAAAAUUCUUAGUAAUGCUUAGAACUUGUCUUCUUAAAAUGGUAUCCCACAA